rnacentral:rRNA from 1 species
CGCUUCUUUUUCCACCGGAGCUUGCUCCACCGGAAAAAGAGGAGUGGCGAACGGGUGAGUAACACGUGGGUAACCUGCCCAUCAGAAGGGGAUAACACUUGGAAACAGGUGCUAAUACCGUAUAACAAUCGAAACCGCAUGGUUUUGAUUUGAAAGGCGCUUUCGGGUGUCGCUGAUGGAUGGACCCGCGGUGCAUUAGCUAGUUGGUGAGGUAACGGCUCACCAAGGCGACGAUGCAUAGCCGACCUGAGAGGGUGAUCGGCCACAUUGGGACUGAGACACGGCCCAAACUCCUACGGGAGGCAGCAGUAGGGAAUCUUCGGCAAUGGACGAAAGUCUGACCGAGCAACGCCGCGUGAGUGAAGAAGGUUUUCGGAUCGUAAAACUCUGUUGUUAGAGAAGAACAAGGAUGAGAGUAACUGUUCAUCCCUUGACGGUAUCUAACCAGAAAGCCACGGCUAACUACGUGCCAGCAGCCGCGGUAAUACGUAGGUGGCAAGCGUUGUCCGGAUUUAUUGGGCGUAAAGCGAGCGCAGGCGGUUUCUUAAGUCUGAUGUGAAAGCCCCCGGCUCAACCGGGGAGGGUCAUUGGAAACUGGGAGACUUGAGUGCAGAAGAGGAGAGUGGAAUUCCAUGUGUAGCGGUGAAAUGCGUAGAUAUAUGGAGGAACACCAGUGGCGAAGGCGGCUCUCUGGUCUGUAACUGACGCUGAGGCUCGAAAGCGUGGGGAGCAAACAGGAUUAGAUACCCUGGUAGUCCACGCCGUAAACGAUGAGUGCUAAGUGUUGGAGGGUUUCCGCCCUUCAGUGCUGCAGCUAACGCAUUAAGCACUCCGCCUGGGGAGUACGACCGCAAGGUUGAAACUCAAGGAAUUGACGGGGGCCCGCACAAGCGGUGGAGCAUGUGGUUUAUUCGAAGCAACGCGAAGAACCUUACCAGGUCUUGACAUCCUUUGACCACUCUAGAGAUAGAGCUUCCCCUUCGGGGGCAAAGUG